rnacentral:rRNA from 1 species
CACGAACCGUACGAACGUUAUUCGGAAUCACUGGGCUUAAAGAGUCCGUAGGCGGCCCUGUAAGUCAGAUGUGAAAUCCCACGGCUCAACCGUGGAACUGCGUUUGAAACUACAGGGCUUGAGGAAGGCAGAGGUGAGCGGAACUGAUGGUGGAGCGGUGAAAUGCGUUGAUAUCAUCAGGAACACCGGUGGCGAAGGCGGCUCACUGGGCCUUUUCUGACGCUGAGGGACGAAAGCUAGGGGAGCGAACGGG